rnacentral:rRNA from 1 species
GAUGAACGCUAGCUACAGGCUUAACACAUGCAAGUCGAGGGACCGGCGCACGGGUGUGUAACACGUAUCCCCCCUGCCCUUUACUCGGGGAUAGCCUUUCGAAAGAAAGAUUAAUACCCGAUAUAAAGGAUGGGGAUGCGUUCCAUUAGGUUGUUGGUGAGGUAACGGCUCACCAAGCCUUCGAUGGCUAGGGAUUCUGAGAGGAAGGUCACCGACAUUGGAACUGGGACACGGUCCAAACUGCUACGGGAGGCAGGAGUGAGGAAGAUUGGGAAAUGGGCGGUAGCCUGAACCAGCCAAGUAGCGUGAAGGAUGAAGGCUUAUGGGUCGUAAACUUCUGUUAUAUAAGAAUAGGUAUUAUAUGAAUAAGGAUCGGCUAACUCCGUGCCAGCCGCCGCGGUAAUAC